rnacentral:sRNA from 2 species
CGAUUCGAGCGAAAGCGAGAGAACGUUGCCAACGGCAACGGCCCGAAGGGCGAAGCGCGCAGCGCUGAGUCAUCCUUCCCCCACCACCA